UACGGAGGAUGCGAGCGUUAUCCGGAUUUAUUGGGUUUAAAGGGUGCGUAGGCGGACUGUCAAGUCAGCGGUAAAAUUGAGAGGCUCAACCUCUUCCCGCCGUUGAAACUGGUGGUCUUGAGUGGAUGAGAAGCACGCGGAAUGCGUGGUGUAGCGGUGAAAUGCAUAGAUAUCACGCAGAACUCCGAUUGCGAAGGCAGCGUACCGGCAUCCAACUGACGCUGAGGCACGAAAGCGUGGGGAUCAAACAGG
rnacentral:rRNA from 1 species